GAAAGGGCUGAUGCAUGGUAUUACAACUGGAUUAAGGGAGAUGGAGGCCAUUCUUGGGAAGAUUUUAAAAAAGAGUUUGUGGAAGAUUUGGGGAUGAUGGUUUAGGAGAUGUAGUGAAAGAAUUGAUGAGGAUGAGACAGGAAGGCACUCUCGAGGAGGAUCAAGAUAAAUUUGAAGAUAUUAGAAUUAGGUUGGAAAGGAUGAUGCCUAAUCUUGGAGAAGCUUAUUUUCUGUCAAGUUUUGUUGGGGGACUGAGGGAUGAUAUUAGACUUGUGGUGAGAAUGUUUAUGUUAACCAAUCUAUCUCAAGCCUUUGAAAUUGCAAAACUACAAGAACAGUUCUUGAACAAUACCAGAAAACCCACUUCUUAUUCAAAACCCUAUCAGGGUACUGUUAGACCCAGUAAUGCUUCUUCAUUACUAUCCAGUACCUACAAAACUACUGCAUUUAAUCAAAAUUACCCUUAUCACCUAAACCACCAAUUGCAAAUCAAAAUACCAACUUGAAACAAAACAAUGCUGUAACCAAACCUCAAAUUCUGUUAGCCAAAGUUCUGAUAAUCAGCCAGCAAAUAAGACCACCCCUGCCAAUUCCAUAAACCAUUCUACCAACAAUAAUACUUUGAUAUAGCCUAGACCUUGUUUCAGAUGUGGAGAGAAGUAUUUCUUUGGCCACCAAUGUAAACGAAAAAACAUUAAUGGCUUUGCAAAUG
rnacentral:misc_RNA from 1 species